UACGUAGGGUGCAAGCGUUGUCCGGAAUUAUUGGGCGUAAAGAGCUCGUAGGCGGUUUGUCGCGUCGAAUGUGAAAACCCGGGGCUCAACCCCGGGCCUGCAUUCGAUACGGGCAGACUAGAGUGUGGUAGGGGAGAUCGGAAUUCCUGGUGUAGCGGUGAAAUGCGCAGAUAUCAGGAGGAACACCGGUGGCGAAGGCGGAUCUCUGGGCCAUUACUGACGCUGAGGAGCGAAAGCGUGGGGAGCGAACAGG
rnacentral:rRNA from 1 species